GGACGAGUGGCCGAACGGUAAAGGCAGCUGGCUUAAACCCAGCCUCAUCUAUGGGUUCGAAUCCCAUCUCGUCCA
rnacentral:tRNA from 1 species